ensembl:lncRNA CDC42 small effector 2
GGGGGGACAGCAGCCGCGGAGCCGGCCCCGAGAGCAGUCGCGGCAGGAGCGAGCGGCGGAGACAAAGGCUACGAUAGGGCCAGUUGUGAGUGUGUGGAUUUUUGAGUAAAACCUCGAACCCAAAUGAGAAGAAACCUUCAAGGAACAACUUAUACUGACAGUGAGUCUACAGUCAUCUGUAUGCAUAUUAUGGAAUGUUCUCAACCCAGAGAUAGCUCUCUUGACAAGGAGUGAGUGACUACCUGUUAAGGUCCUGAGUCAAGACAACAAUUUUUAUACCUUUCCUGGUGGUUCAGAAACGAGUCCCUGUAGAAUCAAAAGCAAAGAAAGGAAACAAUCUGACCUUUCGUUUGUUAGAUUGACUAUAUAAGAUACUUGACUUCCAGGAACAAAAACACAGAGAAGUAAUAAAGUUAUUAUUUUGGCAUCUUUGGACAUCUAUCAUAUUGAGAAGCCUGCUUUGUGAAGCUUCCUGAAUUGAGAUUUGGAAACUUCAUUGGUGCUCAUUUAUAACUUGGACUGUAAGCAUGAGUGAAUUCUGGUUGUGUUUCAACUGCUGUAUUGCAGAACAGCCUCAACCUAAAAGGCGCCGGCGGAUUGACCGAAGUAUGAUUGGAGAGCCCACAAACUUUGUGCACACGGCUCACGUGGGGUCAGGAGACCUGUUCAGUGGGAUGAAUUCCUGGGAUGGCGUCUUGUUCACCCUGUUGUGAUUACUCCAGUGACACGUUACUAUUCUGCUCUGAAGAAACUGUUGUCAGAAGAAUCCUGCAUUUCCUUCAGCUGGCAUGCAUGCCUUUGGACUCAUGGACAGAGUUCUUUGGAUUGUGGCUUAAUGAUUGAUUUUUAUGAAUGUGGAUCUGAUUUUAGCAUGAUCUUUUUUGUGAAUGCUAGCACUGUUUUGCAUUUUCUCCCGCAUUUUUAACAAUUUCUCUUUCCACCUCCAUCCCCUCUGCCUUAUGAUUUUAUUGGUAAGCAAAGAACUGCUAUUUUAAUUUGUCACCAUUUAUGUAUAUUUUGGAAGGUAUGAGAUCCAUAAGCACAAUGAUCACUUAUAUUCAUUUGAAACUUCAGCAGAGUAGUAUCUGCAUGCUUUAUGAAGUUGCCUGUCUGGGAGCCCAUGGGAUGCCAGAAAUGAACAUUUCCUUGCUGCCACGGGCCGAUGAUACUGCUGCUAUGAGAGAAAGGUUAGCUGUGGCACCAAGUCACAUCAGUUUCACACAAAAAAAGCAAUUUGUAGCUUAUUUUAGAAGUAUGACUUUUAUUUAGAGUUAUAAUAAGAAUAGCUUGCAUCAUAAGGCAUUCAUUCUGUUGUAAAUGUUCGAUAUAUUUAUUUGAGAGCAAGGGCCUGGGAUUGUAGACAGGUGUGGUGAGCUGUAUCUGUGUGUGUGUGGUAAUACCCUCAUUGGGUCUGACUCUGAGCGUUGUGAUCUUAGCAGCUGUUCAUUUCUUUGUGUGCUCAUUCUGUGUUCACAUGUCUAAUAUUAUGGUAUCCAGUUGCUUCCAGUAGCAGUUUGUUGAGCUUUUGGCCUGUAUUCCUAACUGUGGAUUUCAGUCAUUGGCUUCUCCAUCUUCCACAUAUUUUGGGACAAUGGAAGUUGCCAGGAGCAACAGUUGACCUGGCUGUGUUGUUGCCUGUGAAAACAACCUGCACGGUGACUUAUUAAGGUAUUGGUGAGAAACCUUUGGCUCAGGUUCCAAAAUACGUUUAUUCUUCACAAACUGUAUUUUCUGUAAAUGCUUCUCCUUCCUGAUAAGGGUGUAGUGUUAAGCCAAUUAGUGGUUUGUUUUUUCAUGAAAAUGUUUAAAUUACGUCCAGUUCAGCCCUAUGUAACAAACAGUUGCAUUUGGUAGGAAUAACAGUUCAUGUAGGAAAUGGUGCUUAACUGAAAACUGACUUAGAAAGCUGUAAGAAAUUAGGUAAUUGUAUAAAGGAAGAGAUCAUUUCUCUUCACCUUAGUCACAGGUUCUUGUGAAACAGGUAACUAACUAAAUAUUGGGUUUAUAUAGGCAAAACAUGGAAGCAUUUCUUCCCCCAGUUCUUUUGGAUUUAAUUUACCCAGUACAGCAGGCACUAGAAUACUCAGUCCUUAUAGUUCUUCAAUUUUGAGUCUUCGUAGGUAUCAAUCCCAGAGACACUGUCAAGGAAAAACAUAUGCUUAGAUGCUGAGCAGUCAAAAUAGGCAUUUUGCAGUUUAAUAACUUCCAAACUUGAAUUCAUCUUAUGUCAUUAAUUGUGUUGAUACUGCAUUCUGGAUUUUGCCUGAGUACCACUGUCAUUCUGUUCAGCCAGACAGAGCACUGCAGUGUGAAAGCUUUUUUUAAGGCCUCGUCAGUGCUGGAUGCUAUGUAGUCUACUUCUAUUCUGACUUUGACUUUAGUACAGAUUUUAUAACUCGUAGAACAAUACAGGGAGGCAUGGUCCCUUUUCCCCAAUUCAUGAUUUGAUUCUUUUUCCCAAUCACUCACUUUCCUGAUUCUCCAAGGGCCGAAUACUCUAGUGAGCACUGGAGCAUGGCUCCAUGGUAGGCCGAAGGCUGCGCUCUUCAGCCUCUGUUUUGCAGCUGCUGCUGACUUGACAGGCACAGGUAGCCACACUGUGUGCAAGAACACAUGCCCAGAAAGGUGCCAGUAAUUAUAAUUACCAACAAUUUUAAGAUACUAACCUUGGACACAGAGUUUUUAUGGAGUUAGCAGGUCCCACCUGGAUAAAUGGGUUCAUUAAUCUUGGGAGGUCAUUUGCUCCCCAUAACAAUGUGUGAAAAUUGAAGCUAACUAAAUAUGAUUGACUGUUAAUACUUUGCUGAAAUACAUGCUAACAACUGUUAACUAAUGACAUGCAUUCUGUAAAAAAGAGGUGCUUUCCCGUGAUGUAGGCCUGAAGUGGUGCCAGUGAGCACAGGUUGGAAAUGUGAACUGUGGUGACUGGGUUCAGCAUUUCCAAUGCAGCAUUAUCAGUGGGCCUUUAAAGAUACUUUGUGAGUAUAUAUUAGCUUUCACUUUUGUUAUUAAAUUAUAGCAGUUCUAUUAUAGAGAGCAAGUUUGAUAGAGAGCAAGUUUGCCUUGAUUUGAUUUUGUUUAAAAUGACUUCUCAGCACCCAGGAGAAAAAAUUGACAUAUUUUUAUAAUAUAAGCAUACUUUUUUUGUACAUUGUGUUCAUUCUUGAAUAAAGUAAGUUCAGUGUUGGCUUGUAGAUAAUAAAAAGAAAGUAAGUAUUUGAUUUUGUUUCAAUAAAUGUUUUUCAAUCC